rnacentral:rRNA from 1 species
CAGUAGCCGCGGUAAAACGUAGGGUGCGAGCGUUAAUCGGAAUGACUGGGCGUAAAGGGCGCGUAGGCGGAUGGCACAGUCAGAUGUGAAAUUCCCGGGCUUAACCUGGGGGCUGCAUUUGAUACGUGUUGUCUAGAGUGAGGAAGAGGGUCGUGGAAUUCCCAGUGUAGAGGUGAAAUUCGUAGAUAUUGGGAAGAACACCGGUGGCGAAGGCGGCGACCUGGUCCUUUACUGACGCUGAGGCGCGAAAGCGCGAGGAGCAAACAGGAUUAGAUACCCCAGUAGUCCAUGUCUCUUAUAC